AUAAAUUAAAACUUUCAACAACGGAUCUCUUGGCUCUGGCAUCGAUGAAGAACGCAGCGAAAUGCGAUAAGUAAUGUGAAUUGCGGAAUUCAGUGAAUCAUCGAAUCUUUGAACGCACAUUGCGCCCGCCAGUAUUCUGGCGGGCAUGCCUGUUCGA
rnacentral:rRNA from 1 species